GCGAAAACUUUACAAUGCUGGCAACAGCGAUAAGGGGACCUCGAGUGCCAGGUUACAAAUCUGGCUGUCGAGAUGCCUAAAAAGCAUUUCAUAGCAAGGGCCGGGCAAGACCGGUGCCAGCCGCCGCGGUAACACCGGCGGCUCGAGUGGUAACCGUUAUUAUUGGGUCUAAAGGGUCUGUAGCCGGCCGGAUAAGUCUCUUGAGAAAUCUGGCAGCUUAACUGUCAGGCUUUCAGGAGAUACUGUCUGGCUCGAGGCCGGGAGAGGUGAGAGGUACUUCAGGGGUAGGGGUGAAAUCUUGUAAUCCCUGAAGGACCACCAGUGGCGAAGGCGUCUCACCAGAACGGACCUGACGGCAAGGGACGAAAGCUAGGGGCACGAACC
rnacentral:rRNA from 1 species